rnacentral:rRNA from 1 species
UGUAUGGUUAAGUGACUAAGCGUACACGGUGGAUGCCUGGGCAGUCAGAGGCGAUGAAGGACGUACUAACUUGCGAUAAGCGCAGAUAAGGCAGUAAGAGCCGUUUGAGUCUGCGAUUUCCGAAUGGGGAAACCCAACUGCAUAAGCAGUUACUGUUAACUGAAUACAUAGGUUAACAGAGCAAACCGGGGGAACUGAAACAUCUAAGUACCCCGAGGAGAAGAAAUCAACCGAGAUUCCGGUAGUAGCGGCGAGCGAACCUGGAUUAGCCCUUAAGCACUCGGUGAAGUAGGUGAACAAGCUGGAAAGCUUGGCGAUACAGGGUGAUAGCCCCGUA